GGACGAACGCUGGCGGCGUGCUUAACACAUGCAAGUCGAACGGGAUCCAAGGGCUUUUUGUUUUUGGUGAGAGUGGCGAACGGGUGAGUAACACGUGAGUAACCUGCCCCCUUCUUUUGGAUAACCGCAUGAAAGUGUGGCUAAUACAAGAUAUUCCGCUUUGGUCGCAUGGCUUUGGUGGGAAAUGGUUUGGUCUGGUGGGGGAUGGGCUCGCGGCCUAUCAGCUUGUUGGUGGGGUGAUGGCCUACCAAGGCGGUGACGGGUAGCCGGCCUGAGAGGGUGGGCGGUCACACUGGGACUGAGAUACGGCCCAGACUCCUACGGGAGGCAGCAGUGGGGGAUUUUGCACAAUGGGCGCAAGCCUGAUGCAGCGACGCCGCGUGAGGGAUGGAGGCCUUCGGGUUGUGAACCUCUUUCGCUGGGUUGAAAGGCCAUGCUUUGGGUGUGGUUGAUUUGAACUGGUAAAGAAGUACCGGCUAACUAC
rnacentral:rRNA from 1 species